UGUGUCCCUUCCACGAACCACUCUCUUUUUCAAUAGGCGCCUCAAAAAACUGAUGAGGGUAGCACAAGCCAAGGAUCAGGAGCUCAUGGUACCAAAAAAAAAAAAAAACCCAAGUUAUUUCCUACUGAAAAACAGUAGCUUUAGGGAUGAUUUCUCUGUAGCCAUACUAUUGGUUCAUGUCAAAUGUUUUCACAUAUUUAAAAGCUGAGCCUUAUAGUGGUCUUUUAUAUGUCAUGAUGUGAUGGUUAGUGCUAAUUGGUUACUUGAAAGAAUUUACAAUCACCUGGGAGAUGGCCUUUUAGCAUGCCUUUGGGGGAUUAUCUAGAGAGCACUAAUUGAGAUGGGAAGACCCCACCUAUUGUGGGCAGCAACAUUCCCAGGCUAGGAUACUGGACUAGGUGUGUUGGUGGCUGAGCAGCAACACGCAUCCAUUGUUCUGUUUUGAUUGUGGACAUGAUGUGAUGACCAGCUGCUUCAAGCUCCUGCCACUGUGACUUCACCAGCACAGAGAGACUGUACCUUAGACCUGUGAGCCAGAAUAAGCCCUUUCUCCCUUAAGCUGCUUCUGACAGAGUAUUUCAUCCCAGGAACAGAAGAGAAGCUGAGACGUAUAGCAACCUACAUGUGUAAUCGUGAUGCUAGAACUAUGCAACUCCCACUGCUUUUCAGAAAGAAGACUCACCUGGUUCGAGCAUACCAUGAAUGCCUGGUGCCUGUAGAGGUCAGAAGACGUUGUUUUUGGAUCCCCUGGAACUGGAGUUAAGCAGUUUUAAACUACGUUGUAGGGCUCGGGAACUGACCUCAGAUGCUGUGCAAGAGCAGCAAACACUCUUAGCCUCUGAGCUCUUGAUGUCUAUUCUUCAAAGAUAGCAGAGUGUUUUCAAAAUAAAUUGUU
rnacentral:lncRNA from 1 species